rnacentral:rRNA from 1 species
AUUGAACGCUGGCGGCAGGCCUAACACAUGCAAGUCGAGCGAGCGGCGGACGGGUGAGUAAUGUAUGGGGACUGCCCGAUAGAGGGGGAUAACUACUGGAAACGGUGGCUAAUACCGCAUACUAUCGGAUACACCAUAGGGGAUUAGCUAGUAGGUGGGGUAAAGGCUCACCUAGGCGACGAUCUCUAUCUGGUCUGAGAGGAUGUUAAGCCCAACGGGGACUGGGCCACGGCCCAACCUCCUACGGAGGCAGCAGUGGGGAAUAUUGCGCAAUGGGGGCAACCCUGACGCAGCAAUGCGGCGUGAAUGAAGAAGGCCUUAGGGUUGUAAAGUACUUUAAGUCGGGAGGCGGUACCGACAGAAGAAGCACCGGCUAACUCCGUGCCAGCAGCCGCGGUAAUAC